CCUACGGGUGGCAGCAGUGGGGAAUAUUGGGCAAUGGGCGCAAGCCUGACCCAGCAACGCCGCGUGAAUGAAGAAGGCCCUCGGGUUGUAAACUUCUUUUGUCAGGGACGAAACAAAUGACGGUACCUGACGAAUAAGCCACGGCUAACUACGUGCCAGCAGCCGCGGUAAUACGUAGGUGGCAAGCGUUAUUCGGAUGUACUGGGUGGAAAGGGCGUGUAGGCGGGGGAGCAAGUCAGAUGUGAAAUUCCAGGGCUCAACCCAGGAACUGCAUUUGAAACUGUUUUUCUUGAGUGAUGGAGAGGCAGGCGGAAUUCCGUGUGUAGCGGUGAAAGGCGUAGAUAUACGGAGGAACACCAGUGGCGAAGGCGGCCUGCUGGACAUUAACUGACGCUGAGGCGCGAAAGCGUGGGGAGCAAACAGGAUUAGAUACCCCGGUAGUC
rnacentral:rRNA from 1 species